GCUCAAUUGGAUAGAGCAGGCCCGUCCUAAGGGCAAGGUUGAGAGUUCGAGUCUCUCCGUCGGCGCCA
rnacentral:tRNA from 1 species